rnacentral:lncRNA from 1 species
UCUAUGUCUUAGAUUGCAUUUAAUCUCAUUUUUUACAUGUUGCAUUGUACGAUUGCAUAGUAGCUCCAUUCCUUAUGCUUUGUAAUUGAUAACCUAGUGUACUUGGAACGCUUGGUAACUUAGAUAGGUGAGGAUUGGGUCGGAACGUGGAUUUUAUGAUACGAAAGAAAAAAGAUGAACCCGAUGGGGGUUGGUGACAUAGAAAGUAGUGUUAAAUGUUAAAGAACAAACGAGUGGCAUCCAACUGUUAAAGAAUAACGAGUGGCAUUAAUGUAGUGUAAAUGACACUAGAGAUUUGAGAACCUAGGGAU